GAUUCAGUAGCUCAGCUGGUAGAGCAUCUGCCUUUUAAGCAGAGGGUCCAGGGUUCAAAUCCCUGCUGGAUCA
rnacentral:tRNA from 1 species